GAUGAACGCUAGCGGGAGGCCUAACACAUGCAAGCCGAGCGGUAUUGUUUCUUCGGAAAUGAGAGAGCGGCGUACGGGUGCGUAACACGUGUGCAACCUGCCUUUAUCUGGGGGAUAGCCUUUCGAAAGGAAGAUUAAUACUCCAUAAUAUAUUGAACGGCAUCGUUUAAUAUUGAAAGCUCCGGCGGAUAGAGAUGGGCACGCGCAAGAUUAGCUAGUUGGUGAGGUAACGGCUCACCAAGGCGAUGAUCUUUAGGGGGCCUGAGAGGGUGAUCCCCCACACUGGUACUGAGACACGGACCAGACUCCUACGGGAGGCAGCAGUGAGGAAUAUUGGUCAAAGGGUGCAAGCCUGAACCAGCCAUCCCGCGUGAAGGACGACUGCCCUAUGGGUUGUAAACUUCUUUUGUAUAGGGAUAAACCUACCCUCGAGAGGGUAGCUGAAGGUACUAUACGAAUAAGCACCGGCUAACUCCGUGCCAGCAGCCGCGGUAAUACGGAGGGUGCAAGCGUUAUCCGGAUUUAUUGGGUUUAAAGGGUCCGUAGGCGGACUUAUAAGUCAGUGGUGAAAGCCUGUCGCUUAACGAUAGAACUGCCAUUGAUACUGUAAGUCUUGAGUAUAUUUGAGGUAGCUGGAAUAAGUAGUGUAGCGGUGAAAUGCAUAGAUAUUACUUAGAACACCAAUUGCGAAGGCAGGUUACCAAGAUAUAACUGACGCUGAGGGACGAAAGCGUGGGGAGCGAACAGGAUUAGAUACCCUGGUAGUCCACGCCGUAAACGAUGCUAACUCGUUUUUGGGCUUUAGGGUUCAGAGACCAAGCGAAAGUGAUAAGUUAGCCACCUGGGGAGUACGCUCGCAAGAGUGAAACUCAAAGGAACUGACGGGGGCCCGCACAAGCGGUGGAUUAUGUGGUUUAAUUCGAUGAUACGCGAGGAACCUUACCAAGACUUAAAUGGGAAUUGACAGCUUUAGAAAUAGAGCUUUCUUCGGACAAUUUUCAAGGUGCUGCAUGGUUGUCGUCAGCUCGUGCCGUGAGGUGUUAGGCUAAGUCCUGCAACGAGCGCAACCCCUGUCACUAGUUGCCAUCAUUCAGUUGGGGACUCUAGUGAGACUGCCUACGCAAGUAGAGAGGAAGGUGGGGAUGACGUCAAAUCAUCACGGCCCUUACGUCUUGGGCCACACACGUAAUACAAUGGCCGGUACAGAGGGCAGCUACACAGCGAUGUGAUGCAAAUCUCGAAAGCCGGUCUCAGUUCGGAUUGGAGUCUGCAACUCGACUCUAUGAAGCUGGAAUCGCUAGUAAUCGCGCAUCAGCCAUGGCGCGGUGAAUACGUUCCCGGGCCU
rnacentral:rRNA from 1 species